UACGUAGGGGGCAAGCGUUGUCCGGAUUUAUUGGGCGUAAAGAGCGUGUAGGCGGCCAGAUAGGUCAGCUGUGAAAACUCGAGGCUCAACCUCGAGACGUCGGUUGAAACCAUCUGGCUAGAGUCCGGAAGAGGAGAGUGGAAUUCCCGGUGUAGCGGUGAAAUGCGCAGAUAUCAGGAGGAACACCAGCGGCGAAGGCGGCGCUCUGGGCCGGUACUGACACUGAGGAGCGAAAGCGUGGGUAGCAAACAGG
rnacentral:rRNA from 1 species